rnacentral:misc_RNA from 1 species
GAUGAAGAACGCAGCGAAAUGCGAUAAUUAAUGUGAAUUGCAGAAUUCCGUGAAUCAUCGAGUCUUUGAACGCACAUUGCGCCUCAUGGCAUUCCGUGAGGCAUGCCCAUCUCAGCGUUAGAAAAUAUUCUCAAAUUUUAGUUUUGUGCUAAAAUUUGGAUCAUGUCAAGGAAGCUAUUACUAUUAUUGUGAUCGCUCUUUGGAAAUUGAUAGGUCUUUGAGUUGCUACUCAUAGAACGUGAUGAAUCUUUCUUCGUUCUAUUGCAAUUCACUCUGGUAGUCCUAAAACUUGUAUGCCUGUGGCAUAUCUUGUAAUUUGACCUGAGAUUGGGUAGGGAUACCCGCUGAACUUAAGCAUAUCAAUAAGCGGAGGA